UACGAAGGGGGCUAGCGUUGCUCGGAAUCACUGGGCGUAAAGCGCACGUAGGCGGCUUCUUAAGUCAGGGGUGAAAUCCUGGAGCUCAACUCCAGAACUGCCUUUGAUACUGAGGAGCUUGAGUCCGGGAGAGGUGAGUGGAACUGCGAGUGUAGAGGUGAAAUUCGUAGAUAUUCGCAAGAACACCAGUGGCGAAGGCGGCUCACUGGCCCGGUACUGACGCUGAUGCACGAAAGUGUGGGGAUCAAACAGG
rnacentral:rRNA from 1 species